GGGUUGUGAGGUUAAGCGACUAAGCGUACACGGUGGAUGCCCUGGCAGUCAGAGGCGAUGAAGGACGUGCUAAUCUGCGAAAAGCGCCGGCGAGGUGAUAUGAACCUUUGACCCGGCGAUGUCCGAAUGGGGAAACCCAGUGUGUUCCGACACACUAUCGUUAACUGAAUACAUAGGUUAACGAGGCGAACCGGGGGAACUGAAACAUCUAAGUACCCCGAGGAAAAGAAAUCAACCGAGAUUCCCCCAGUAGCGGCGAGCGAACGGGGAGGAGCCCAGAGUCUGAAUCAGCGUGUGUGUUAGUGGAACGGUCUGGAAAGUCCGGCGAUACAGGGUGACAGCCCCGUACACGAAAGCACACAUGCUGUGAACUCGAAGAGUAGGGCGGGACACGUGGUAUCCUGUCUGAAUAUGGGGGGACCAUCCUCCAAGGCUAAAUACUCCUGACUGACCGAUAGUGAACCAGUACCGUGAGGGAAAGGCGAAAAGAACCCCGGCGAGGGGAGUGAAAAAGAACCUGAAACCGUGUACGUACAAGCAGUGGGAGCAUCCUUCGGGGUGUGACUGCGUACCUUUUGUAUAAUGGGUCAGCGACUUAUAUUCUGUAGCAAGGUUAACCGAAUAGGGGAGCCGAAGGGAAACCGAGUCUUAACUGGGCGUUAAGUUGCAGGGUAUAGACCCGAAACCCGGUGAUCUAGCCAUGGGCAGGUUGAAGGUUGGGUAACACUAACUGGAGGACCGAACCGACUAAUGUUGAAAAAUUAGCGGAUGACCUGUGGCUGGGGGUGAAAGGCCAAUCAAACCGGGAGAUAGCUGGUUCUCCCCGAAAGCUAUUUAGGUAGCGCCUCGUGAACUCAUCUUCGGGGGUAGAGCACUGUUUCGGCUAGGGGGUCAUCCCGACUUACCAACCCGAUGCAAACUGCGAAUACCGAAGAAUGUUAUCACGGGAGACACACGGCGGGUGCUAACGUCCGUCGUGAAGAGGGAAACAACCCAGACCGCCAGCUAAGGUCCCAAAGUCAUGGUUAAGUGGGAAACGAUGUGGGAAGGCCCAGACAGCCAGGAUGUUGGCUUAGAAGCAGCCAUCAUUUAAAGAAAGCGUAAUAGCUCACUGGUCGAGUCGGCCUGCGCGGAAGAUGUAACGGGGCUAAACCAUGCACCGAAGCUGCGGCAGCGACGCUUGUGCGUUGUUGGGUAGGGGAGCGUUCUGUAAGCCGUUGAAGGUGUGCUGUGAGGCAUGCUGGAGGUAUCAGAAGUGCGAAUGCUGACAUAAGUAACGAUAAAGCGGGUGAAAAGCCCGCUCGCCGGAAGACCAAGGGUUCCUGUCCAACGUUAAUCGGGGCAGGGUGAGUCGACCCCUAAGGCGAGGCCGAAAGGCGUAGUCGAUGGGAAACAGGUUAAUAUUCCUGUACUUGGUGUUACUGCGAAGGGGGGACGGAGAAGGCUAUGUUAGCCGGGCGACGGUUGUCCCGGUUUAAGCAUGUAGGCGGAGGUUCCAGGUAAAUCCGGUACCUUUUAACGCUGAGGUGUGAUGACGAGGCACUACGGUGCUGAAGUAACAAAUGCCCUGCUUCCAGGAAAAGCCUCUAAGCAUCAGGUAACACGAAAUCGUACCCCAAACCGACACAGGUGGUCAGGUAGAGAAUACCAAGGCGCUUGAGAGAACUCGGGUGAAGGAACUAGGCAAAAUGGUGCCGUAACUUCGGGAGAAGGCACGCUGACAUGUAGGUGAAGCCCCUGCGGGUGGAGCUGAAGUCAGUCGAAGAUACCAGCUGGCUGCAACUGUUUAUUAAAAACACAGCACUGUGCAAACACGAAAGUGGACGUAUACGGUGUGACGCCUGCCCGGUGCCGGAAGGUUAAUUGAUGGGGUUAUCCGUAAGGAGAAGCUCUUGAUCGAAGCCCCGGUAAACGGCGGCCGUAACUAUAACGGUCCUAAGGUAGCGAAAUUCCUUGUCGGGUAAGUUCCGACCUGCACGAAUGGCGUAAUGAUGGCCAGGCUGUCUCCACCCGAGACUCAGUGAAAUUGAACUCGCUGUGAAGAUGCAGUGUACCCGCGGCAAGACGGAAAGACCCCGUGAACCUUUACUAUAGCUUGACACUGAACAUUGAGCCUUGAUGUGUAGGAUAGGUGGGAGGCUUUGAAGCGUGGACGCCAGUCUGCGUGGAGCCAACCUUGAAAUACCACCCUUUAAUGUUUGAUGUUCUAACCUGGCGCCGUGAUCCGGCGUGGGGACAGUGUCUGGUGGGUAGUUUGACUGGGGCGGUCUCCUCCUAAAGAGUAACGGAGGAGCACGAAGGUUGGCUAAUCCUGGUCGGACAUCAGGAGGUUAGUGCAAUGGCAUAAGCCAGCUUGACUGCGAGCGUGACGGCGCGAGCAGGUGCGAAAGCAGGUCAUAGUGAUCCGGUGGUUCUGAAUGGAAGGGCCAUCGCUCAACGGAUAAAAGGUACUCCGGGGAUAACAGGCUGAUACCGCCCAAGAGUUCAUAUCGACGGCGGUGUUUGGCACCUCGAUGUCGGCUCAUCACAUCCUGGGGCUGAAGUAGGUCCCAAGGGUAUGGCUGUUCGCCAUUUAAAGUGGUACGCGAGCUGGGUUUAGAACGUCGUGAGACAGUUCGGUCCCUAUCUGCCGUGGGCGCUGGAGAAUUGAGGGGGGCUGCUCCUAGUACGAGAGGACCGGAGUGGACGCAUCACUGGUGUUCGGGUUGUCAUGCCAAUGGCAUUGCCCGGUAGCUACAUGCGGAAGAGAUAAGUGCUGAAAGCAUCUAAGCACGAAACUUGCCCCGAGAUGAGUUCUCCCUGAGACUUAGAGUCUCCUGAAGGAACGUUGAAGACGACGACGUUGAUAGGCCGGGUGUGUAAGCGCAGCGAUGCGUUGAGCUAACCGGUACUAAUGAACCGUGAGGCUUAACCUUACAACGCCGAAG
rnacentral:rRNA from 1 species